AUGAUGAGAAAUAUGCAUGCUCCUUUGUUUAUUUCUUCUUAUUUUUCUUCAGAGCAAAGAAACAUUCAGAAGAACGUCGAUUUUGAGCGGUAUUUGAGCACUAGAAGUCAAGUAGACAUUUCUCAUAACUGUCUUGAGGCUACAGCAUUCAGUGUAACUCCCAGCCAGACAGCAGAACAAGGCCAGCUGUGUCCCGCACCUCUGUCAGGUGGGAAGAGAGAUCCCGGUCAGAGACAGACUAAUCUCUCCUGCCCUUCUCAGCCAUUCCAGGACACCACCACUCAGUUCACCAGUUCCUGCUUCCUGCAGCAGAAUAAUCUCUGCUCUAGGCUGCAGCAGCAGAGCUCUAAGUGUGUGGCUCAUAGGAUUCCCCAUCUUGCUUUGUCAGUGCUCCCUGCUGUGAAUCUCCCUCAGAGACACUCACGCCUUGAGGCUUAUAGUUUAGAAGGGAGAAGGAAUGAGGAUAUUGACAUUCAUCAACACCACCAUCAGAAGUCAGGGGCAGUUGGUAGCUGCUCCAUACACACUGCUGACCAUCACUGUUUAGAAAAUAGGAACAAGAAUAGUGACUCUUCAGUGGAAAAACAAAAGCAUCAACCUCCUGCUGCUUCUUGUAUGGAUCCUGUGAACCCUUCACCGGUCAAUCCACAUUUGCCAUCUCUUGCAGUAGAUUCCCCUCUUAGGCACAAAUUAGUGGCGUGUCCCUCUUCAGGGAGUUCAGGUGAAAGUGUAAAUGCUUGUCACAGUUCAGCACUGGCCUUGGGAGAUCUCAGUCCAUCUGGUUUGGAGUCCCUUCGGUCUCUUCUGCAAUCUUCACAGAUUUCUGCUGGUUUGUACAGUUCAAUCGAGAGGCUUAAGCAGGAAACUGCUUUGAUGGGGAUGUGGGGCUCCCUCCCUCAGGAGCCCAAGUCUUCCCCAGUCAGUAGCAGUUUGUGCUUUGCUCCUGAUGUUUCACCUCCUAGUAUCCUGAGCACGGGAGAACAGCUAGCUGGAGUAAAGACCAGUGCCACUCAGGCAAGAUUGAAAUGGGGUGUCCCAUUUGCUAAAGACUGGAGCCUUGGUGCCCUGACAAGGGACUUUGGUCAUGUAGAACCUCUCUCUGUCUCUCACAGAUACAGGUACAUUGACUUGAACUCAUGGAGAACCAAAAUUUCAGGUGACAUCCAGCCAGAAACCAUCUCUUCUGGGGUGGGCUCUGGUAGGCUAGUGGAUACAGAAGCAGAUUCCUCCUACAGUUGCUCCCCUUAUUUCAGAUGCCAGUCCCAGGCAAAGCCAACUCUGGAAACUGGUAGUCUUUAUGUUCACACAAAAAGUCAUUCCCCUGAAAAGGUUCUUAAAGGAGAAGAGAUAGUUGGUGGGGCAUCCCCACGUGCUAUAUCUUGGAAGCGAGACCUGCCAGCCAGUCCGUAUCUAGAGGCUCUGCAGGUAUCACUGGAGGCAGAUUUGAGUGGGGCUCAGGUGAACGUUGGUGUAGCCAUGUAUGGGACUCCAAGGGAAGUGUGCAUGAGAGUUGCUUCUCCUCCUGGAGAUAAAGAGUUUAGACCAGUCCAGCAGCUUAGUAUUAAAUCUGUAGAAGUCAGUAACUCUGAACCUCAUGUUAAGUCCAGCAAAGAGUCAGAAAAAGUAUGUGACUCUAGAUCACAAGCAGCCAGAAGAGUGGCAUUUGAAGAAGGCUUUGGUGAAUCUUCUGAUAUAGAUUGUAUGAAUAUGAGCAGAGAAGGAAGGAGAAACAAACACUCCUACCGAAGCAGCUGGAGGAACUGGGAAGCUGCCGCCAAUUUUGACCAGUCUGAAGAACCUUCUGCGCAGAGGAGUGCCAAAGAACCACGGUGCUGUGAAGAAGGGAGCCAGACAAAGGAAACUGUGUCCAGAGAGGUGAGGGUGUGCUCACUGUGUAGCAUCCCUGUUCACAGAUACUGUUUGUACUUGUUUUCGCUUCUUGCUAGAGGCACAGAGUUGAGGUAC
rnacentral:lncRNA from 1 species